UCCUACGGGGGGCAGCAGUGAGGAAUAUUGGUCAAUGGGCGCGAGCCUGAACCAGCCAAGUAGCGUGAAGGAUGACUGCCCUACGGGUUGUAAACUUCUUUUAUAAAGGAAUAAAGUGAGGCACGUGUGCCUUUUUGUAUGUACUUUAUGAAUAAGGAUCGGCUAACUCCGUGCCAGCAGCCGCGGUAAUACGGAGGAUGCGAGCGUUAUCCGGGUUUAUUGGGUUUAAAGGGUGCGCAGGCGGGAGAUCAAGUCAGCGGUAAAAUGUCGGGGCUCAACCCCGGCCGGCCGUUGAAACUGGUUUU
rnacentral:rRNA from 1 species